rnacentral:lncRNA from 1 species
AAUUGGAAGAGGCGCUGGGAAUAAUCUGUCAUGAUUGGACCCAAAGUCGCCAACCAGAUCACUCCUAAAACCAAGUCAGAACCAUGUAAAUCAAUGACAAAGAAGUCUGUCGAGAAGGUGUGACCUUGUAUAGUGAUAGAAAGAUCGUGGAUGACACCUAAACAUGGAAGACUAUGACUGUUACCCACCAAAACAGAAAAUUUGACAGACAAUUCAAUGGGCAAUUUAAGA